rnacentral:rRNA from 1 species
GGGCUGGGCUGCAGCUACACAUGCAGUCGAGCGGAUGAGAAGAGCUUGCUCUUCGAUUCAGCGGCGGACGGGUGAGUAAUGCCUAGGAAUCUGCCUGGUAGUGGGGGACAACGUUUCGAAAGGAACGCUAAUACCGCAUACGUCCUACGGGAGAAAGCAGGGGACCUUCGGGCCUUGCGCUAUCAGAUGAGCCUAGGUCGGAUUAGCUAGUUGGUGGGGUAAUGGCUCACCAAGGCGACGAUCCGUAACUGGUCUGAGAGGAUGAUCAGUCACACUGGAACUGAGACACGGUCCAGACUCCUACGGGAGGCAGCAGUGGGGAAUAUUGGACAAUGGGCGAAAGCCUGAUCCAGCCAUGCCGCGUGUGUGAAGAAGGUCUUCGGAUUGUAAAGCACUUUAAGUUGGGAGGAAGGGCAGUAAGCGAAUACCUUGCUGUUUUGACGUUACCGACAGAAUAAGCACCGGCUAACUCUGUGCCAGCAGCCGCGGUAAUACAGAGGGUGCAAGCGUUAAUCGGAAUUACUGGGCGUAAAGCGCGCGUAGGUGGUUUGUUAAGUUGAAUGUGAAAGCCCCGGGCUCAACCUGGGAACUGCAUCCAAAACUGGCAAGCUAGAGUACGGUAGAGGGUGGUGGAAUUUCCUGUGUAGCGGUGAAAUGCGUAGAUAUAGGAAGGAACACCAGUGGCGAAGGCGACCACCUGGACUGAUACUUGACACUGAGGUGCGAAAGCGUGGGGAGCAAACAGGAUUAGAUACCCUGGGUAGUCCACGCCGUAACGAUGUCAACUAGCCGUUGGAAUCUUUGAGAUUUUAGUGGCGCAGCUAACGCAUUAAGUUGACCGCCUUGGGAGUACGGCCGCAAGGUUAAACUCAAAU